AUUGCGUGUACUAUUUUCACCCAA
rnacentral:siRNA from 1 species